rnacentral:pre_miRNA from 1 species
AAAAUGGUGAGAGGGUCGGGGGGGAGUUCCCUACGGGGCUGUGAGACGGCUGGGCGCCCGACCACAC